rnacentral:rRNA from 1 species
UACAGAGGGUGCGAGCGUUAAUCGGAAUUACUGGGCGUAAAGCGCGCGUAGGCGGCUUUGCAAGUCGGGUGUGAAAUCCCCAGGCUUAACCUGGGAACUGCAUUCGAGACUGCAUUGCUAGAGUAUGGGAGAGGGAAGUGGAAUUUCCGGUGUAGCGGUGAAAUGCGUAGAUAUCGGAAGGAACACCUGUGGCGAAAGCGAUGCACUGGACCUCUUCUGACGCUGAGGCGCGAAAGCCAGGGUAGCGAACGGG